rnacentral:rRNA from 1 species
GAUGAACGCUGGCGGCGUGCCUAAUACAUGCAAGUCGAGCGAACAGACGAGGAGCUUGCUCCUCUGACGUUAGCGGCGGACGGGUGAGUAACACGUGGAUAACCUACCUAUAAGACUGGGAUAACUUCGGGAAACCGGAGCUAAUACCGGAUAAUAUAUUGAACCGCAUGGUUCAAUAGUGAAAGACGGUUUUGCUGUCACUUAUAGAUGGAUCCGCGCCGCAUUAGCUAGUUGGUAAGGUAACGGCUUACCAAGGCAACGAUGCGUAGCCGACCUGAGAGGGUGAUCGGCCACACUGGAACUGAGACACGGUCCAGACUCCUACGGGAGGCAGCAGUAGGGAAUCUGCCGCAAUGGGCGAAAGCCUGACGGAGCAACGCCGCGUGAGUGAAGAAGGUCUUCGGAUCGUAAAACUCUGUUAUUGGGGAAGAACAAAUGUGUAAGUAACUAUGCACGUCUUGACGGGACCUAAUCAGAAAGCCACGGCUAACUACGU